GACGUAGGGCGCGAGCGUUGUCCGGAUUUAUUGGGCGUAAAGAGCUCGUAGGCGGCUUGUUGCGUCGGCUGUGAAAUCCCAUGGCUCAACUGUGGGCUUGCAGCCGAUACGGGCGGGCUAGAGUUCGGUAGGGGGAGACUGGAAUUCCUGGUGUAGCGGUGAAAUGCGCAGAUAUCAGGAGGAACACCAAUUGCGAAGGCAGCUCGCUGGGACGUUACUGACGCUGAGACGCGAAAGCGUGGGGAGCAAACAGG
rnacentral:rRNA from 1 species